GCCCAGCCACCCUCUGGGGGAAGAACCUUUCCCUAAAAUCCGACCUGAGCCUGCCCUGACACAGCUCCAUGCUGUGGCAAGGCCAAAGACUGAGCGUGGGGGGUUUUUUUGUGAUGAUGAAUUUUGGGAGAGGCCAAAAUCUCGGCUCCCCUCCAUCCAACUGGGCAGAAGAUGAAUCAGAAGCCCUGAAACCCAAACUGGGGCUCUGAGCUUGGACCGCUGCCUGCUCACAGAGACAGGACAUCCAUCCUCGGGGUCAUCAGCCCAGCACGUGGGGUUGGAUUUGGGUAUGGUGUGAUCCUCCCUCCUCUCCUGUUCACUCCCGCAGGCCUUUGACAGCAAGGGUGGCAAUUCCUGGAAGAAAUGAGCCCCCUCGUUGUGAUGGAGCAGAGCCGAGUCCUCCCGGGCUGCUCUCGGCAGAGCUGGUUGGCAUUUUGGGAUCACCCGCUCCUGGUCACGGGAGCUGUGCUGUGUGAGCCCCGUGCCCUCUUAGGGAAUGCCGGGCUGUGGUUGUGCACGCCAUAAAUCCAGCUGGCGAUGACAGGGACACUCCAAACCCUCCGCGUUAUUUUUGCCUCCGUAGCUCAGGCUCCGGGCGAUCCCGGGCUGCGGCUCCAGCGUUCCCGUCCCAUGAGAGGGCAGCACGAGCCCGCCGGUGUCGGAUACGGGUUUUUAGGUGCUGAAAUUGGGCAGCAUCAGUUCUGAAACUCCUUCGGAAGCGAUGUGAGUGUGUCUGCUUAAACCUUGCCCCGGAGCGUCCCCAUUCCGGUGACUAAUGUGUGAAACCAACCAGGAGUGGUUUUCCCUGCCGAUAAAAAGUGUGGUGAACAUCGAUCCUUCCUACAUUCCUGCAGGAGACUGUGGAAAUCCUUCAUCCUCAUGCUGAGCAGGGUCUGCAGCUCUCAUCAUGCUGCAGCAUGGCCAGGACUGAUUGCUCUGGAACAUCAGCUCUUGGCUGAGUAAUACAGAACUUGCUUUUCCUGGGAUAAUCCAUAGAGAUGGAUGUUGGGCAAGGAAAAUGCAGAAGGAAGCCAGGAUCAUGUGAAUGUGUUGGACCAGGAGAAAAUAAGAAGUUUGUAUUCAGUGUUUAUCUGAAGUGAUUGCUAUUUAUGCACCUAACCUUGUGACAGAGCAAAAACACUGCCAGAAGAAUGUUAUUACCUGAAAAGCUGUUUAUUCCCCCAGAUUCAUGAACCAACAAAGAGGCCCUAAAAGGAAGAUGUGGGGAUCCCUCUGUCCUAUGUGUGGGUGUCAGCAGCCAAACCAUCUGUGUCCCCUGUUCCCUCUGCUGGGACAGCAGGGAUUUCUGGGUCUAGGAACUUGGUCCUGAAAACUGCUGAGUAAACUCCAGUUAGUGUUUCCUGGAAUCCACUGGAGGGGUGGUCCCUGAACCCAUUUUUUAGCUGGUCACUGGGAGCUUUAGCCUGUCGAAGGGCCCAAUCCUGGGAGCUUCAGGGCUCUUCAAUCCUCAGUAACUUUGAUUGGAGUUAAGGGUCACUCAGUACCUCCUGGGAGGAGGCCCUGAGCGGUCUCAGCUUUUAAAGUUAAUGGUUUUGAGCGUGAGAAUCUGGCCUGGGAGUUUUUAAUUUGACUUUGCUGGUUUUAGGUUCAGCUUGAAACUGUCUCAAAUAGAUUUUGUGCCCUCAGUACUGAAUGUUACUUUGUUAGAGCCUUCCCUGUUGUUGGUCUUACAGGUGCCAAGUCCAUCCCUUGUCUUAGGCAACUGUAGCCAAUGGGCUGAGAUCAGGGAUGACUUUGGCCAGGGAUAAUUGACAUAAUAAAUAAAAUUUGAAACAAAAAAAAUUAUAUAUAAAUCAAAAGUUUGAGUUUGGAAUAGCUUCUGAGAUUCUGAAAGUAACUGAAGUAAUCCAGGAGAAAAUAUGCCAUGAAAUCUGUUUUCCAUUAUUGCAUGAGAUGGUAUGUCUUAAAAUUUGAUCAAACCCAUUUUUUUUAUACGAUGAAGACAAUGCAGCUCAAAGUGAUGUGGAGAUCUGGGGUCAUUUUCAAUGUGGUAUUUGUAAAUUAUUGUAGACUUGACAUUCUUAUUCAUUUGUUUGAUAAGAUUUGCUUUUCCUGCUGUGAUCUCACAGCAAACAAUUUCUGACUGAGUGGUAUUUUUGAAAGAAGUGGUAGUGGAACCUCAUUAUUGA